UGAAGGCACAAAGAGGGUGCCGGGACAGCCCAGAGGGAGGAAGAUCUCCUAGGGCAGGAUGAGAGAGAAGACAGCCCAGAAGAGCUGGGUAUCAAAGAUCAAGUAGGAGUUCGCCAGGUCAACAAGGGAGGAUAUGGCAAGCAGAAGCAUGACUAAUCUCGGCAUUGCUGUAAGCCAGUGAGGAGAUAUGAAUACAGAGUGUGGAGCGCAGAGCUAAUGAAGCGAGAGGACCGAAAUUCAGUAAGAGGCAUUGAGGAGUGAGACAAAAAGAAUCAGGGUGCUACUGAGGCAUUUUGUCCAGGAGAGCAACAAAGGAGGGUUACAGAGGAGCAGUCCUGAAGCCCAGGCGUGCGGAGUGGCUCUGGGAAGGGAGAGGUCUGUGGCUAACAACAACCACCACUGAGGGAGCACCAACCACGUGCUGAGCGCUGUGCUGGAAAUCUCUGUGUGUGUCUUCUUUAAAUCUCACUACCCACCUGUGAGGUAGUUGAAUCAGCAUCAACUUAGAAGAAGAGAAACUUGAGGCUCAGAGCAGCUUUAUGUGACCUGCCCAAGGACACAUGCUGUGGAGACGGCUAAGUCGCACCUGAACACAGGUCUGUCCAACCCCAACAACAGGUCUGUUCCUCCCCCUUGGCCAGAUGCCUUCGGAGGGGCAGGGAGGAGGCACUGAGGAUGUUGCAACAGCCCAUGAGGAAGGAGUGAAGGGGUGGCAGCCAGCCUGGACAGAGAUUCUUGAACUGCAGGAGACUACGAACCAUGGACACAGGGCCUCCAGCACGCGAAUCACACCUGACAGGUGGUGACCUUUAGAGGCUACACUUGGAGCGACUUCCACCUGUGCACCAAGGCAGACUGAUGGCCACACACGCAGCUUCCUCAGUGUAGAAUAAUCACGCACACCUGCUGUGUGCCCGGUACCCGGCCAGGCGCUUUCAAUAGUCAGUUCCUGUCAUUCUUCUCCAAGCAUUGUGGGUAUUAUCAUCCUGGUUUUUAUUGGAGAAGCUGAGUUUCAGAAGGGUCUAAUAAUUUUCCCAAGGCCACUCAGCCCUUUCCGCUCUAAACCACGCUGCCCUCCUUUGUCCAGCUGGCCAUGUCCUGCUCAGCCUCCAUCUCCUUUGUGACAUCUAGCCCUAGGACUGAGAGAACGGUAGAUGCAAUCAAUCAUUUCCAUAUCAGCAUUUCCAUAGCUCCUUGUUCAUAUCUGAAUGCCAGACUUGUCAUAUUGCCUUGCCUAUCUGUCCCCCACUAGACUGGGAGCUCCCCGAGAGUGGCCACCAGCCUUUUUCUUCUUGUCGGAGUCCAAGCCUUAAGGAGAAGGGAAGAGGCGCCCGUGACCCCGUGUGAGCAUCAGGUACCCGUGCGGAGCUUUGGUCUCUGAUCCUCCCUAUUCUGUCGUCUUUCCCCAGAACACCUCCAGGGACUCCAGACCCCCUUAAGUCACGGAGGUGGUCGAGCCUGAGGUGUGCUCCAACCCCAGCAGGACUUCCCAAAAGGUUUGGAAAACAUGUGGCCGAUUAAGUCAAACCUUGUUAAUGUGCACCAAGUAGAACUUGGUAGAAUAACACACUUUAUGCUUCCCAACUACACAUAAUGACUUGGCCUCAGCAAGAAAGUGGUCCCUAGAAAUGUGGAUGCAUUUGAAAAAAGAGAUACAAAUAACACAGUAUUUUGCACAUAAGUGAGAGUUCAAAGGGCCUGAGGGCCAUUUGUGGAUGGGAGUGAUUUAAAGGAGGCACGACGACUAUGCUGGAAGCAUGUGAACUUGGGCGAUGGGCCUGAGAAAUGGCCUCAGGCUCAUAGUUGACACUGCAAAAGUGGCAGCUCAUUACAGCAACUGCACUCUUGAGUUUCACGACAAACCUUCUGUUCACAAACUGUGCAAAGCCUUGAUCUUGUCUCGAAUAUCACAGAUUCCAAAUGAGAGGGAUCCUAAUAAACAAGGUUUGGUUUAUUCUGGUUUUUGUUUUUAAAAAAAGAGCAAGCAGUGUCCUGCCACCGUGCAUUUCAUAACCACAGGGGGCAAGAAUCCUGCCCAUGUCCCCAAGAUUGCGUGGACCGCAUCGGGCACUUUAAAAGCCCAGCUUUUAAAAAUCAGGCCCUGAUCCAUUAACUCAAAGGUGGGUGAGUUUCCCAGUAGAAACAACAACCAAGAACAUGAAGAAAUCGCUGCCUCUGAAGACCUUAGAUGCACGUGAUAUUGUCCUUGCACUUCUCAGAAGAGGUGUUGGGCUGGAAAGCAGAUGGGGAGUACAAAGAGCCGUGGUCCUGUCCCCCAAGAGCUUGAUACAUUUGGUGAGACCACACUGCAGCCUCCAGAAUGACGUGUAACAAGGAUGGAAUGUACAAGGAAGUCAGUCCAGGAUUCACGGGUGGACGAGCGAUAUGGACACUCAAUGGUCGGAAGUUGAGAGGGCACAGGGAUGGCUGUGGUCAGAGGGGUUGGAGGCCCCUCACGAAGACAGGGAGCUGAGCUCAGCUCUGAAGAGCCAAGGGAAGGAGGACUUCAUGGAGAGCGAGGGCUGUUGCAGGGUGCUCCCUCUUGAGUCCUUGCACAAAGCCCGUGUGAUGAUAACGGAGUGUCUGACCCUGGAAUCAUCUCAGCUUCACUGCAAUUCCUUCAUCCCUUCACUGAGUGGCUUGUUCUAUGCGACUUACGAAGUCUCUUCCGUUUUAAGGACUCUAUAAUUCUGUGUGCCAAAACGACAUUCAUUCCAUGCUAGGCAUUGGGCACGCAAAAAUUGUAAAAAUCUGUGGCCCCUGCUGCAAAGAAUUCACAAUCUAAUUUCGAUGGGAGUUCAACCUUAGUUCCCUUAACAACCUUGGGAAGGAGAUACAACAAAGAUUAUUGUCAUCCCUGUUAAAGAUGAGGAAACUGAGGCUCAGAGAGGUGCCAAGGAUCAAACACAAUCUCAGCCUCGGGGAGGCUCCCAUCCUCUCACCCUUUGGUGUGCCGGUGCGUCAGCCAGCGGGGCUCUUGUUAGGAACGCCGAUUCUGAUCCGGCAGGUCUGGGCUGGGGGCUGAGAGUCUGCAUUUCUGCUCAGCUCCCAGGUGAUGCUGACGCUGAUGCUGGUCUGAGGACCACACUUUGAAUAGCAAAGGGCUCUAGAUUCACACCCGCUUGGACUGCUGACCAGAUCAUUCAGCAGAGUGCCAGGAUCACUUUAGAUCAUUCUAGAAUCUCUAGAUCAGUGCUUCCCAAACCUGGCUGCACAUCAGAGUCACAUGGCAACUUGUGAAACAAGCUCAAAGCUCAAGGCCUGAAAUUUGAUUCCAUAGGGAUGGGAUCUAGGAUUCUGAAGUCUUUUUUUUUUUUAAACGAGUUGUACAGGUGGUUCUGGUGCACAGCCCUUCGGAAGGUGACUGCCCCCACCUGACCUUCCUGAGACCUUGAGGAUGAGCGCCCUCUGCCUUUUCUACCUCUCAGACUCUCUUCCUCCACCAGCGCUGUAUCCAUCUUAUCUGUCACAACGACCUCGAACCUGCCUUCUAUUUAAGACUGGACCCACGUCUCGAGAAAGCCUCUGGGGUGUGAUUUCAAGUGGAUAAGGAAGGCUGGCCCCUGACCCAAAAUAAGAUUUCUUCCCCGCCUUUAGCUGCUCUUGAUGCCUUCAAUUUCUCAGGCUGCAACAUAAUCCCAAGACCUCAGGGGCAGGGCCAGAAACCUAUUUAUCUCUGCCUCCUGGGGCUUACCGUGGGGUACAGAGUAGAGACCCAAGAAAUGGUGGUGGAUUUAAAUGAAAACCUUGAGGUAACCAUUGCCCUUUCUUCUGACUAUUUUUAUCAAAGGAAAAUGUCUGGAGAAGAGCAACUUAGGUUGCAUCCUGAGGUUUUCCUCUGGGACACAAAGUGGGCAAAGCCUGGGCACCGCGUGCUGCAGCGGAAAGGAGAGACGGAAACGUGCAAGAAGGCAAGGAGACGCGGCCUCUGCAGAGCGCUUGCUGCGCUGUGAGCGCUCUUUGCUAAGCACUUUGCAAACACUGACGACUCGGGAUGUAACCCUGUGUGCUUAUCAGAUUCGCCUGGAGAAUUCACCGACAUCACGUAUUCCCGCAAACCUGCUGAAUCAGCCUCCAGGGGCAGAACCCGGGAACUCAGCAAGGCGCCCAGGUGAUGCCGGCAUUUGGGAAGCACUGCAUUCCAUGGUUUAUCCCUCGCAGCAGCCCGUUUUACAGAUGAGGCCACUCAAGUGUAGGGUGACUUACCGAAGUCACACAGCCAGGAAAUAAAUGUCAGAGCCAAAGCAAGGAGGAGAAGCCAAAGGUUCUAGUGGCAUUAUCACAGGAAGUAAGAAAUAUUCCAAAUCCUGGGGGCGGGGUACGAGCCCAUGACCCUGCGCUUUGACUACGCCAGUGUUUCCUCAGGCCACACAGUGGGGCAAUGUCCCCAUUUAGGGCGUUUUCACCGUCUGGACAUCACCCUGCACGCCCCCAAGUGAGUCAUUCUUGAUGUUGGAAAGCCAGGGACAUUGACAACCUGUAAGAAACUGGCAGCCACUUGAAUUCACAGGGAACAACUCUGGCAAAGAAAACCCUUUUCCUUCUCAUUGAAUAGUUAGAUUGGCAGGUCAGGGGACCAUCUCACCCACAUGCACACAAGGGUGUGUAAUGGUUUCAAUGAGCACUUGAUAAAGUCUUUCAUGAUCCCCAAAAGGAUGGGUUGGAUGCCUUGGAUUGGGUAAUACUGUAAUAAGUAGAAGCAGUUAAACUGACAUUCCUGGGGCCGGCCCUGUGGCCAAGUGGUUAAGUUCACGUGCGCCACUUCAGCGGCCCAAGGUUUCUCUGGUUUGGAUCCUGGGCGAGGACACACACCGUUCAUCAGACCAUGCUGAGGCGGC